GGGACUGUAUUUUAUUUAAAAUAUUCUAUUUGCGUUAGAAAGAAAAGUGUUCUA
rnacentral:tRNA from 1 species